AUUGAACGCUGGCGGCAGGCCUAACACAUGCAAGUCGAGCGGAUGAAGGGAGCUUGCUCCUGGAUUCAGCGGCGGACGGGUGAGUAAUGCCUAGGAAUCUGCCUGGUAGUGGGGGAUAACGUCCGGAAACGGGCGCUAAUACCGCAUACGUCCUGAGGGAGAAAGUGGGGGAUCUUCGGACCUCACGCUAUCAGAUGAGCCUAGGUCGGAUUAGCUAGUUGGUGGGGUAAAGGCCUACCAAGGCGACGAUCCGUAACUGGUCUGAGAGGAUGAUCAGUCACACUGGAACUGAGACACCGUCCAGACUCCUACGGGAGGCAGCAGUGGGGAAUAUUGGACAAUGGGCGAAAGCCUGAUCCAGCCAUGCCGCGUGUGUGAAGAAGGUCUUCGGAUUGUAAAGCACUUUAAGUUGGGAGGAAGGGCAGUAAGUUAAUACCUUGCUGUUUUGACGUUACCAACAGAAUACACACCGGCUAACUUCGUG
rnacentral:rRNA from 1 species